rnacentral:tRNA from 1 species
GCAUUGGUGAUUCAGUGGUGGAAUUCUCACCUUCCAUGUGGGAGACCCAGGUUUGACUCCCGGUCAGUGCA